rnacentral:rRNA from 1 species
UCAAGCGACUAAGUGUAUGUGGUGGAUGCCUUGGCGAUCACAGGCGAUGAAGGACGUGACAGCCUGCGAAAAGCUGUGGGGAGCUGGCAAAUAAGCUUUGAUCCACAGAUGUCCGAAUGAGGGAACUCACCUGCUUUGCAGGUAUCCCAUCCUGAAUAUAUAGGGAUGGGAGGCGAACGAAGCGAACUGAAACAUCUAAGUAGCUUCAGGAAAAGAAAUCAACCGAGAUUCCGAAAGUAGCGGCGAGCGAAAUCGGAUCAGCCCAGCACUCGAUAGCAGCCAACUUACGGGAACGGUCUGGAAAGUCCGGCCAUAGAGGGUGAUAGCCCCUUACUGGAAAAGGCAGCUGUGGUACUAAGUGUGCGAUAAGUAGAGCGGGACACGUGACAUCCUGCUCGAAGAUGGGGGGACCAUCCUCCAAGGCUAAAUACUCGUGAUCGACCGAUAGCGUACCAGUACUGUGAAGGAAAGGUGAAAAGAACCCCGGGAGGGGAGUGAAAUAGAUCCUGAAACCGCAUACAUACAAACAGUAGGAGCCUCGUUAAGGGGUGACUGCGUACCUUUUGCAUAAUGGGUCAGCGACUUACGUUUAAUGGCGAGCUUAACCGUAUAGGGGAGGCGCAGCGAAAGCGAGUUCGAACAGAGCGUUCAGUCGUUAGGCGUAGACCCGAAACCAGAUGAUCUAUCCAUGGCCAGGUUGAAGGUGUGGUAACACACACUGGAGGACCGAACCGACUAGUGUUGCAAAAUUAGCGGAUGAGCUGUGGAUAGGGGUGAAAGGCUAAACAAAUCUGGAGAUAGCUGGUUCUCCCCGAAAACUAUUGAGGUAGUGCCUCGUGUAUGACUCCAGGGGGUAGAGCACUGUUAUGGCUAGGGGGACAUGGCGUCUUACCAAACCAUGGCAAACUCCGAAUACUUGGAAGUUUGAGCACGGGAGACAGAGCACCGGGUGCUAACGUCCGGACUCAAGAGGGAAACAACCCAGACCGCCGGCUAAGGUCCCUAAUAUUGACUAAGUGGAAAACGAAGUGGAAAGGCUAAGACAGUCAGGAAGUUGGCUUAGAAGCAGCCAUCCUUUAAAGAAAGCGUAAUAGCUCACUGAUCGAGUCUUUCUGCGCGGAAGAUGUAACGGGGCUAAGUCAAUAACCGAAGCCGCGGAUUCACACUUUUGUGUGAGUGGUAGGGGAGCGUUCUGUAAGCCUGCGAAGGUGACUCGUAAGGGUUGCUGGAGGUAUCAGAAGUGCGAAUGCUGACAUGAGUAACGUUAAAGCGGGUGAAAAGCCCGCUCGCCGUAAGCCCAAGGUUUCCUGCUCUACGUUCAUCGGAGCAGGGUGAGUCGGCCCCUAAGGUGAGGCUGAGAAGCGUAACUGAUGGGAACAAGGUUAAUAUUCCUUGACCACCGCUGAAUGCGAAGGGGGGACGGAGUAUUGAAGAUCAUCCGGGUGUUGGAUAUCCCGGUUUGUGAGCGUAGGAGGCUGACAGGCAAAUCCGUCAGCGGAUCUCCGAGGCAAAGCAUCGAGCUCUCUUUUGAGCGAAGUGAUUGGAUGUGCUUCCAGGAAAAGCCUCUAAGCUCCAGUUCAGCGGGACCGUACCGCAAACCGACACUGGUGGGCGAGCUGAAUAUGCUCAGGCGCUUGAGAGAACUCAGGAGAAGGAACUCGGCAAAUUGACACCGUAACUUCGGGAUAAGGUGUGCCUUUGUAGCGUGGAGGGAGAAACACCCCGAGCGCGAAGAGGUCUCAGAUAAUCGGUGGCUGCGACUGUUUAUUAAAAACACAGCACUCUGCAAAGACGAAAGUCGACGUAUAGGGUGUGAUGCCUGCCCGGUGCUGGAAGAUUAAUUGAUGGGGUGCAAGCUCCUGAUCGAAGUCCCAGUAAACGGCGGCCGUAACUAUAACGGUCCUAAGGUAGCGAAAUUCCUUGUC